AAUGAAUGUAAACAUACUAUUAGCGUCCUUUGAAUUGUAGUCAUGAAUAUCCAGUUUUUUAAUGCAACGUUUAUUCUGUUUAUUUAUUCACUAGAUUUCGAAGUCAAUCUCCAAAAGCUAUAGAAGUCAAUCUUCAAAAGUAAAAUAAUGGACACGAAUUCCAAUUCGUCAGAAAUCUGAGUUACGGCAUUUGGUGAUGUCCAGAAAAACAGGAUCUAUAUACUGGUUAUUUUGGCUUUUGUGUUAUAAUUAAACGCUAUUUCACAAUGUAUAAAUAUUUUCCCUAAUGAAUGACAUAAUUUUAAUUGGGAAUCUCCCGCUCUUUAAGACCUAUUUACACACAACGCGUCAGCGGCAAAAAAAACAAGACCCAUAAUUUAUGGUAAUGUGAAACACUGAACGCAUCAUUCGUUGAGCAAGCAGACUACAGAAUAUACCGCGAACGAUGAGCACGACGGCCGACAGAAUGUCUUGUCACUGUUGCAUACCGCUAUUGCGUUAUGUGUAAAUAGACCUUUACUUUAUGCUUCAGAGAUAUGUUAUCGAUUAUCGAAUAUUAGUAAAUCAAAUGCUGUGUCGGAUGUCUCAAGUUUAAAUAUAUAUUUCUAUGGCACAUUAAAAUAACAAUACAUAUACAGUAAUAAUUUAAUCAAAAAAUACAUGUUCAUUAAAUUCUGGAAACCUAAAAAAGCCCCCGCCUCACCAUUGAUAUCUGAUGUUUAAGAUUAAAACCUAAUAGGCCUAAUUAUUAUUUGGUAUGUAUUCUAUUUCGACUUUCGGAUAUACAAUAACACAACUGAUCCUCUUUCCAUGCUGUCAAGGUUUCUGCGACAAAUUAUCUGUGGUUUGCUCAAAUAAUAUGGCUGUGAUGAUGUAUAUGCCCAUAUAUGGACAAAUUCAAGAAUGUCACAUAAAAAUUGACAACGGGGCAAAAUUUUACUGAAUGUGCGCAUAUCUUAUUCAUUUAUUCUUCUGAAGCUCUUUUAAUAAUACGCAAGACAGAGUGUAACUAUAAAAUGUUCAAUAUGCAUCCAAUCUUUAAAAAUGGUAAAAUAAAAACUGUAAAUGGGAAAAAGAAAUUAUUAAAUACUGCUCAACUUACCUUACAUAACUA